rnacentral:tRNA from 1 species
GGAAAUAGCUGAGUUGGGAGAGCGUUAGACUAUAGAUCGAAAAGCCCCUGGUUUGAUCCCGGGUUCCG